UUGUGAAUAGGCUGCCAUCUGCCUGGAAGCAAAAAGCUGAAUUGUACAGGAAACGGCUGCAUUAAAGUCCUCUCCAAACCCUCAUUAAUAACAAACAAGGUCUGCUUUCAUGGUUGCAUCUGGCACCACUAGAGAGAGAGAGAGAUGGCAGUGAAUGUAUGGAAGCAGAGCAGCUCUUUGAUUUCACUCCAGCUGUGCUAGUGGGGUCUUAAGUGAAGUGCUGCUGUUCAGUUCCCAGCUGAGAAGAAGGCUGCUGGAGGAAAUAACUGCCCAUUUCCAAAUUGCUGUGCAUUGGCUGAAAGUAGGAUGAAAAGCAGAAUGAGCUGCAGUGGAUCACAGUGCUAACAACACGAGAUUUAUUAGAAGUAAGAUGUGUGAACUCAUUGGGGAAGAAGAACGAUGUUUCUUCAUUAUAAAGCAAAUGUAUUCCAUCUGUGGGAAGAUCAGAGCAUUGAGUGGCCUGGGCGAUGAAGGCAGUGACUGUGGAAGCCACCGCUGUUCCCAAAUACGAGC